ensembl:lncRNA
AUGAAAGUGAAAACAUAGAGUAUGAUUUCAAGACUUGCUGCUAUCGAAUACAGAUCGCCCCGUGAUCAAUUUGAUAGAUUAUUAACGUUUAUUAAUACCUAAAGUUGGUUUAGAUAAGUAGUUUGAAGUGAUUUGUAAAAGUUUAUAGGCAACUUUUGUAAUUUUAAAAAGUUACGUUGCGUCUUGUAAAGGGGCAUUUUUCUGGAUCAGACCGGUCUUCAGCAAAUCACAUUUUGGGUAUACAAUGACGGAUUUAAUCGGGAAAAAGACCCAAUUGUGAUGUUUAUGUGACAUAUAGGAGUGCCAAGAAAGAAGCUCGUCAAAGGACCUGAGCCCUAGGACCAUGCCUCAGGACUACCUGGCAUGAUGACUCCUUGCUGUCCCCAGUAUCCCUGCCGUGCUGCUGUUCAACUGUUCUGCCUGCGGCUAUGGAACACUGGCCUGUUCACUGGACGUGCUGCCUGUCCCAGACCUGCUGUUUUCAACUCUCUAGAGACAGCAGGAGUGGCAGAGAUACUCUGAAUGAUCGGCUAUGAAAAGCCAACUGACAUUUACUCCUGAGGUACUGACUUGCUGCACCCUCAACAACUACUGUGAUUAUUAUUAUUUGACCAUGCUGGUCAUUUAUGAACAUUUGAACAUCUUGGUCAUGUUCAGUUAUAAUCUCCACACGGCACAGCCAGAAGAGGACUGGCCACCCCUCAUAGCCUCGUUCCUCUCUAGGUUUCUUGCUAGGUUUUGGCCUUUCUAGGGAGUUUUUCCAAGCCACCGUGCUUCUACACCUGCAUUAGCUUGCUGUUUGGGGUUUUAGGCUGGGUUUCUGUACAGCACUUUGAGAUAUCAGCUGAUGUCAGAAGGGCUGUAUAAAUAAAUUAGAUUUGAUAUACAUAAUUUUAAUAGCAGGGUAUAGUAAAGUCCAUUAUUUUUCUGAAGAGUAUAUGAGAAGUGUUGAAUGAGCAUGGGCGGAGUAUUCAUUGUGGUGCUCAUGAAUUUCCUUUCUUUUUCAGCUUCAAACCAAUAACUAUUCUCACUUAACUUCGUUUUUUUGUUUUUCAUUUCUAUGUUUUUUACACCGGAAGGUGAUUAUCCAACAUUAUUAUACAACAUUAUAAAACAGCACAUGCUCUCCUCACAAUGUCAUGCGUUUUAUUGAUUUGAUUUAUUGAUAAGAUCCUAGCUCAUAAUCCUACUGAUCAUUGCUCGAAGCAAAUUGGCGAGAGCAAGCAAACACAAACUGAAGUGAAUGUUUACUAUGUGAUUACACAAUGUGGCUGACUAGAUGACUACAGGAGAGAUUACACAAUGUAUCUGGCUGGAUGACUACAGGAGCGAGAAAUAUGGAUGAGCUGUUCAAUGGAAGAGUUCUGAAAUAUUCUUUCUCGCCAAGGCAAAAUGUGACUGUGAGUAUGUCAUAUUCAUCAAACUCGGUGGAAAUUACUUGGGCCACACAAAGG